CUACAAUGAUGGCAGUACUUUUUGUCAACAGCAGUUCACCUAGUAAAUGUUGAUACUUUGGGUCUGAGUGG
rnacentral:snoRNA from 2 species